UGUACAGUGGCCGAGCGGUUGAAGGCGUCAGUCUGCAAAACUGAAGGCAAAUAGCCCACGGCGGUUCGAAUCCGCCCUGUCGUCCA
rnacentral:tRNA from 1 species